UAGAGCUGGAUAAAGCGCGGUUCAAGAAAAUCAUCGAAAGACCGAAUCUUCCAGGAAGGGAGGCAACAACGUGAAGAGGCAAAAGAUGAGCAGGAGCGUGGCUGGCAAAGUGUUUGGCUUUGGGGAGCACCAUGGGGCCUGGAGAAGCUAAUGACUUCACAGGCUGAGUGGGAAGUGAAACAUCCAGUCUGAAAAGUAACCGUGGGCUGAAGAUAUUUUCCAUUAGAGUUCUGGACCAAUAGAACAUGAAGGUGCCAAGAUGAAUCAUGAGGGCCCUUGAGAAGGCAGUGAACUCUGGUUAAAGAAUGAGAGGAUCCUACACCAAAAUGCUCAAGCGGGACAUGAUCAUCCUCUGUGAGAAAGGCCUCUCCCUAUUAGGCUCUAACCUUUGCAACUACAGUGUGGUCCAAAAUGUCCACCAAGGGGUGACCUUUCAGAAGUCCUAUGAGAUGUGCGCUUCCUGUGGAGGCUGGAUCCGGCGUCUGUUGUGUCCCCAGACGUAUUGUAGAACCCAGUACCACAAUAUCGGUGAAUCGAACAGAUUGCUGCUAAGGACGUGAACAGAUCAAGCUCCACUGUGCUUUCCCCUAGGUGCUGAUUCUCCUGGACUCUGUCUCUGUUGUACACUUUCGAUACUGGGUGUUGCGGCUGUGGUUCUGACUGUGGUUGGAGACCACACAUGGCCCCGGAUAAACAGAUGAGCUUGCGACUUGCCUUCAAAUGCUGCUAUUUUAGCCGGCUUCAUGAACAUUAAGCCCCCAUCUUAAAAAGGCAGAAGCCAGAUGAAUUACUGGAACAAUGCGACCAUCCUGAUGGAAAUAGAUUUCAGCGAAUUGAAGCAAGUGAAUCCAAAGCUUCUGAACCAUUUGUGUCUCUUACCUGUCAUGAUGUGGAUGAAUGUGACUACCCUGAACUCAGUGCUUGCUCUGAAAGAGAGCAUUGUGUAAACCUGUAAGAGCCU